AGCGAACGCUGGCGGCAGGCCUAACACAUGCAAGUCGAACGAACCUUUCGGGGUUAUUGGCGGACGGGGGAGUAACACGUGGGAACGUGCCUUUAGGUUCGGAAUAACUCAGGGAAACUUGUGCUAAUACCGAAUGUGCCCUUCGGGGGAAAGAUUAAUCGCCUUUAGAGCGGCCCGCGUCUGAUUAGCUAGUUGGUUGAGGUAAUGGCUCACCAAGGCGACGAUCAGUAGCUGGUCUGAGAGGAUGAUCAGCCACAUUGGGACUGAGACACGGACCAAACUCCUACGGGAGGCAGCAGUGGGGAAUCUUGCGGAAUGGGCGAAAGCCUGACGCAGCCAUGCCGGGUGAAUGAUGAAGGUCUUAGGAUUGUAAAAUUCUUUCACCGGGGACGAUAAUGACGGUACCCGGAGAAGAAGCCCCGGCUAACUUCGUG
rnacentral:rRNA from 1 species